UACCAGCUCUUCGAGUGGUGUGGAUGUUUAUUGGGCCUAAAGCAUCCGUAGCUGGCUGGGCAAGUCCCCUGUUAAAUCCACCGAUUUAAUCGUUGGAGUGCGGGGGAUACUGUUCGGCUAGGGGACGGGAGAGGCAGACGGUAUUUUCGGGGUAGGGGUGAAAUCCUAUAAUCCCGGGAAGACCACCAGUGGCGAAGGCUGUCUGCUAGAACGCGCCCGACGGUGAGGGAUGAAAGCGUGGGGGAGCGAACCGGAUUAGAUACCCGGGUAGUCCCAGCUGUAAACGAUGCAGGCUAGGUGUUUGGGCGGCCACGGGCCGCUCUAGUGCCGCAGGGAAGCUGUUAAGCCUGCCGCCUGGGGAGUACGGCCGCAAGGCUGAAACUUAAAGGAAUUGGGCGGGGGAGCACCACGAAGGGGUGAAGCUUGCGGUUU
rnacentral:rRNA from 1 species